AGGCAGCAGUGGGGAAUAUUGCACAAUGGGCGGAAGCCUGAUGCAGCGACGCCGCGUGAGGGAUGACGGCCUUCGGGUUGUAAACCUCUUUCAGCAGGGAAGAAGCGCAAGUGACGGUACCUGCAGAAGAAGCACCGGCUAACUACGUGCCAGCAGCCGCGGUAAUACGUAGGGUGCGAGCGUUGUCCGGAAUUAUUGGGCGUAAAGAGCUCGUAGGCGGCUUGUCGCGUCGGAUGUGAAAGCCCGGGGCUUAACCCCGGGUCUGCAUUCGAUACGGGCAGGCUAGAGUGUGGUAGGGGAGAUCGGAAUUCCUGGUGUAGCGGUGAAAUGCGCAGAUAUCAGGAGGAACACCGGUGGCGAAGGCGGAUCUCUGGGCCAUUACUGACGCUGAGGAGCGAAAGCGUGGGGAGCGAACAGGAUUAGAUACCCUGGUAGUCCACCGCCGUAAACGUUGGGAACUAGGUGUUGGCGACAUUCCACGUCGUCGGUGCCGCAGCUAACGCAUUAAGU
rnacentral:rRNA from 1 species